ACCUCAUGAUUUGGGCAUUGGGAUAAUUUUCCAUUAAACCAUUCCCAAGCUUUAAAUAAGAGCUCUCUAUUUAUUUGCCAAAAAUUCAUAAUCUCUUCACGCUUUUGAAGCA
rfam:Capsicum annuum cultivar Zunla-1 chromosome 10, whole genome shotgun sequence